AGAGUUUGAUCCUGGCUCAGAUUGAACGCUGGCGGCAUGCCUUACACAUGCAAGUCGAACGGCAGCGCGGGGCAACCUGGCGGCGAGUGGCGAACGGGUGAGUAAUAUAUCGGAACGUACCCUGGAGUGGGGGAUAACGUAGCGAAAGUUACGCUAAUACCGCAUACGAUCUAAGGAUGAAAGUGGGGGAUCGCAAGACCUCAUGCUCCUGGAGCGGCCGAUAUCUGAUUAGCUAGUUGGCGGGGUAAAAGCCCACCAAGGCAACGAUCAGUAGCUGGUCUGAGAGGGCGACCAGCCACACUGGAACUGAGACACGGUCCAGACUCCUACGGGAGGCAGCAGUGGGGAAUUUUGGACAAUGGGCGCAAGCCUGAUCCAGCAAUGCCGCGUGAGUGAAGAAGGCCUUCGGGUUGUAAAGCUC
rnacentral:rRNA from 1 species